rnacentral:tRNA from 1 species
AUAACUCAGUUGGUAGAGUGCAAGCUUCCCAAGCUUGAUGUCGCGAGUUCGAACCUCGUU